CCUGUGCCAGAAUGUGCUGGAGGAGUGGCAAUUUCCAGCACUUGCUGAUCUCAUGGACUUGCCAUUUCCUGUGACAAACCAGGAGGUCUCUGCUGGAUUGGGAAGGAAUGUUCAUGUUGGUGGCACUGGCUGACAGGACUCCUGCAACGCUUUCUCCCCAAGGGGUUUCCUCAACAACUCAAAGAGUGACUGCUUGGCACUCAUUAUCAGGACAGGAGGAAAUUCAUGUAAGGUUCUGCAGAUGACUUAAUCUUGUACACCCAGAAGAACAAGAUCUCCAGGACAGCUGAACAGAAGUGUCAAGGCACCCACAUCUGAGACAUCCCUGAUCCCAGGCCAACCAAAGUAACAGU